rnacentral:sRNA from 1 species
AAUUUCUAUUUUCUACAUGUUCACUUAGGACUGCUAAAAACUCCAAAACCUGCUAUUGCUUGGCUUGACUUAGUGGCUUCCGAUCACAUCUCAUCUGUUUGCAUCACACCUAAAGU